rnacentral:rRNA from 1 species
GACGAACGCUGGCGGCGUGCUUAACACAUGCAAGUCGAACGGAAAGGCCCUGCUUGCAGGGUGCUCGAGUGGCGAACGGGUGAGUAACACGCGGGUGAUCUGCCCCUUACUUUGGGAUAAGCCUGGGAAACUGGGUCUAAUACUGGAUAGGACCAUGCUGUAGGUGGUGUGGUGGAAAGAUUAGUUUCGGUAAGGGAUGAGCUCGCGGCCUAUCAGCUUGUUGGUGGGGUAAUGGCCUACCAAGGCGUCGACGGGUAGCCGGCCUGAGAGGGUGGACGGCCAAAUGGGGACUGUGAUACGGCGCCGACGCCUACGGGAGGCAGCAGUGGAGAAGAGUGGACUAUGGGCGCAAGCCUGAUGCAGCGACGCCGCGUGGGGGAUGACGGCCUUCAGGUUGUAAACACCUUUCAGCCAUGAAGAAGCCCAUGUGGUGACGGUAGUGGUAGAAGAAGCACCGGCUAACUACGUG